UGGGAGCUCGACGGGUAUGAGGGAAAGCCCACUGAGCUCACGAAGGAUGUGUGGGAUGGCCUCAUCGCCUAUUGGAAGCACCCCUCUUCGAUCAAAAAGGCCAAUUCGUGCUCGGCUUCUCGAAGAACGAAGGAUAAAGAUGGCAAUUUGCCCAUGCUUCACAGAACCGGCCAAAAACCACAUGCAGGCAUCCGUCUAGAAGUUUUGGAGAAGACGGGAGUCUUACCAUCUCUGUCUGACCUAUUCAAGAUGACUCACGCCACAUCCGACGGAGUUUUUGUGGAUCCUGCAUCUGAGAAACUCGCUUAAGCAGUGGCUACUCGGAUUGAAGAACGGGAGACGCAACUAACUCAGGAGUCUCCCGAUGGAUUACCCGUCACAUUGUCCACCGAAGAAGCCGACAGAAUCUUCGAAGAGCUGGCUCCUAGAAAGAAUGGACGAAUAGUCGGUAUAGGCUCUGUUAACGAAGUUGCAAGGGCAACUUCGUCAUACACUUCGAGAUGGGAUGAAGAGACUUCUCAGAUGAAAGCUCGAAUGGAUAGCCAGCAGGUUCGUUUAGACUCUCUUGAGGAUUUGCUAGACGUGAUGGCCGUGGGAAAUCCGCUUAUGCAGAGAAUGUUGAGUGACAGACGAGCCGCUCUUGGGUUGCCAGUACGAGAUCCCCAAGAGUCUGAUUCAACCCGUCAACAGCCGAGUAACCCUACCGACUACUUCGAUGAUAUGUAGUUUUUUUAAUAUUUCGGUUUGUAUUAUGAAUUUAAAUAUUAUGACUUUUAAAUGCUUUUUUAAUAUAUGUUUUUUAUUUUCAUAUUUCGUUUUAAAAUUAAAAUAAUUUAAAAUUCCGAAUUUUAAAUAAAUUCAAAUAUAUAUUAUAAAAUUAAAUAUAUUUGAGGUUAAAAAAAAUUCAAAAUCUAUAUUAUAAAACGAAACGUCGAUAUAAACUCGACGUAAAUAUUUACGACUGAUUACCGUCGAAACAUUUACGUGGAGUUUACAUCGAAAUAUUUACGAGGGUUUUACAUCGAAAUGUUUACGUGUUCGUUACAACGAAAGUAUUUACGUCUGCUUUACAUCGAAUCCAUUACGUUGAGUUUACCACGAAUUAUUACGUCUCGUUUAAGACGAAACUAUGCCCUGCGCUUUACGAGAAAUAUAUUUCGUCGUAAAGUUAACAAGUCAUUUACGACGAAACUUCGGUUACGACGGGCGUUUUACGACGAAACGUGUUUCGAGGUUAAUUCGUCGUAACACCCCGUUUACGACGAAGGUACAAUGUAUAUUGCCUUCGUAAAAAAUAUGCUCUUGUAGUGAUAACAUUCCAAAUUUAUGGCCAUGCAAUACUUGUUGGUUGCAUCCUUCAGCCUUCUUACUAACGUUAAUCGAACAUUCGAUUCUUGACCGUUAAUACCUUUACACCAUCCACAUCCUAGUAUCAAAACUAUAAAAUAUAUGUUUACUUACAACCUUAUAAGGGUGAUGGUGAUCUUCUCGUUCGUACUUCUCUCAGUGGAAAUAAUUGAGAACCUAAUGAAUAGAUGUGGAUCCAAAGGAUACCAAUGUGGGAAUUCAAAGCAUGCAGAAUGCUACGGAAAAAAAUUCUUUAAUUCCGAAAUAUAUCGACUUUGGGACCAUUUUUAAAUAGCCUUUGAUUCCCAAAUCUCCAAUAAGUCAAAUCAAAAUCUUCAAGUAUGUCACAUGGGUAGGUUUAAUUGACGAACAUUAAAUGAGCGUCCCCAUAUAUAUCAGUGAUUGACACAUCUUUGAUUCACGUUCAUCACGUGUACUUUUGCAUCAUAGCUAAGCAAACAUAAUACCAAAUAUAUGCUUUCUUUAGCUCUUCCAACAAAGAAAAAAUUAUCUUCACAAGUCUUGCGGUUAAGUGCUUUUCUAAAAUAGAGUUUGUAGGAUUCGAGUCAUAAGAGAACUUUAUUAUAAGUGUAUCCCACCUUUACGACAAGUUCAUUGCUUGAUGUUAAGGUCAGUAUAGUCUUAGAACAAAUGUAUUUUUUUCCAAUUAUUGACGAACCAAGAAGAAAAAGACAGACCAGUCAUUAUUUUUGUGGGGUUUGUUUUGGAUGCUUUUGGCAUGGUCUUGGUUUUAGUAUCUCUAUCGCUUAUCAGUACCAUUGGCAUGCUCUUGGCAUGGUCUUGGGUUUUAGUAUCCCCGUCUCCAUCUAUCUUAUUAAAACUCAAGUACAAAAUUGGAGUGUUUGGAGACUUGAAUAGGACUUUUAAAAAUUUGGAGUGUUUGGAAACAUGGAUUGCACUCUUUUAAAAAAAAAUAUUUUUGUUUGAAAACAAAGAUAGUAGUAUUAAGAAAAAAAGUAAUGGGCUUA